rnacentral:rRNA from 1 species
ACACGUAGGGGGCAAGCGUUGUCCGGAAUUACUGGGCGUAAAGGGUGCGUAGGCGGCCAAAUAAGUCAGAUGCGAAAGUCCAGGGCUUAACCGUGGAAUCGCAUUUGAAACUGUAUGGCUUGAGUGCAGGAGAGGAGAGCGGAAUUCCUAGUGUAGUGGUGAAAUGCGUAGAUAUUAGGAAGAACACCAGUGGCGAAGGCGGCUCUCUGGACUGUAACUGACGCUGAGGCACGAAAGCGUGGGGAGCGAACAGGAUUAGAUACCCUGGUAGUCCACGCCGUAAACGAUGAGUGCUAGGUGUCGGGAGUCAAAUCUCGGUGCCGGCGCAAACGCAAUAAGCACUCCGCCUGGGGAGUACGGUCGCAAGAAUGAA